AUAAAAAAAUAUAACCCAGGAAUAUCCGGAAUAAUCUUAGAUUAAUCAAAAUUUACCCGAAAAAAUUAAUCCGAAAAAAUGAUCCUGGAUUAAUCCUGUAUUAAUUGAGAUUAAUCUAUGAAUGUUUAAGAUCAAUCUAGAGAUUAAUCUAAAAAAAUAUUCUCAGAUUAUUCUUUAGAUCAUUCUGAGAUUAAUCUAAAGAAAUAAUUUUUGGAAUUUUCUUAGAAUGAAUCCAGAUUAACCUUAAAAUGUUUUAAAGUCAAUCUAGAGAUUAAUUUACAAGAAUAUCCCUAGAAUAAUCCCAAAGGGGCAAUUUGAAUAUAGUUAAUAGAAUAUCCCCAGAUUAUUCUAUGGAUCAUUCUGAGAUUAAUCCAAAAAUAUUUUUUUAAUGUUCCAAGAAUAUUCUUUAAAAAACCCUAAAAGAGAAUAACUUCGAUAUUUUUCUUAAAAUUAAAAACAAAAUUAAAUAUGAAACAUAAUUUAAUCAAGAAAAUUAACUGCCAUAUUGUUAAAUAAUAUGAAUAAUAUCACAAAAAAUAUUUUUCUAGGAAAUAUUUUGUAAUUAAGUCGAUGGAUUAUAUUUUAAUAUUAAAACCUAAACCUUUUUCAUUAUCUGAUACAAAAUUAUGAUGCCUUUAUUUUUCAAAGAAUCUGCCCGGAUUAAAAAGGGUAAAAAUCAUAAAUGCGAUUGAAUAAAUUAAUUUCUUAACACAAAGAGUCUUAUUUAAUGCUACCGAUAAACGGGCAAAUAUGAAAAUAAUGGUCAGAAGGACAAAAAAGGGUUAAAAGGGCGAUUUUAGUGUGCGCGUGGUAGCGGCGGCUGCACAUGCAUGCACGCACUUGCAUGGAAUGCCUGCUGCUGCUGCCUGCCUCUGUUGUGGAGCGGGGGAGGGGCGACGGGCGGUGGCAGCAGCAAGCGCAGCAAGAGACUUACAAAAUCCUGCCUCGCUCUCUUUGUCCAACGCGUCAACGGUCAACCGCCGUUCAAAGUUAAAGUUAUUAACGGACGCAGGACGCCGGACGCCGCCAGUAAGGGACAACACGGACGUCCCGCAGACUUGGACGGAUGGCCUGGAUCUGGCGGUUAACAGGCUUCAAGCCGUCCGCAGCUGUUUUGCACGACGGGAAAAGAUACAAUCGUUUAAGUUCUGCAGUUUGGGCUUCAAGAUUGGCGGUGCUGGCAUCGAAUGAGAGAAAAUUUUGUACCUGAUAUGAUUAAAAACAAAUAAAUUUUAAAAAUUUAACUGAAUAA